rnacentral:rRNA from 1 species
UGGGGAAUAUUGGACAAUGGGCGAAAGCCUGAUCCAGCCAUGCCGCGUGUGUGAAGAAGGUCUUCGGAUUGUAAAGCACUUUAAGUUGGGAGGAAGGGCAGUAAGCGAAUACCUUGCUGCUUUGACGUUACCGACAGAAUAAGCACCGGCUAACUCUGUGCCAGCAGCCGCGGUAAUACAGAGGGUGCAAGCGUUAAUCGGAAUUACUGGGCGUAAAGCGCGCGUAGGUGGUUCGUUAAGUUGAAUGUGAAAGCCCCGGGCUCAACCUGGGAACUGCAUCCAAAACUGGCGAGCUAGAGUAGGGCAGAGGGUGGUGGAAUUUCCUGUGUAGCGGUGAAAUGCGUAGAUAUAGGAAGGAACCCCAGUGGCGAAGGCGACCACCUGGGCUCAUACUGACACUGAGGUGCGAAAGCGUGGGGAGCAAACAGG